GAAACUGGUUCCUCCCAAUGUGGUAACCAUCGAGCCCCAGGGGGAAGACAGCAGCUAAAGCCAGUGAGCAGCCCACAGCAGUCAGGAACAUGAUCAGUAUCUCAGAGAGGCAGACAAGGAAAACGUCAGAAGAGAAACUUACCGGACAUGUGAGUUGUAGAUGUUAAAGGACAGACAGACAACAGCUAGGACAAUGCCCAGGCUGGAGAGAACUGAGACGGAGAUAAAGAGUUUCUGUGACAGGAAGCGGAAUGUCUUGAUGACCAGGGUCUGGUCAGCUGGGGGGGACC
rnacentral:lncRNA from 1 species